AUAAUGCAUAUGCUGGUUCACGUGAAUCAAUCAAUCGACUUUGCGGAUCAGAGGAAAAAUCCUGAGCGGUUCUAUUGGCAAUCUCAGUGUAUUUCAGUGUGUUCGAGGGAGUUGAGGUGUUGUACAUUUUACUCUCGCGGUGAUUCUUUUUCCUAAGCGCACUACAGUACAGGAAAUGGGAGAGAGUGAAAAGUGGACAGGAUUGCUUGCAGUUCCGGAUUGUCGAUUACACCGCUCAAAGAGCGAUAGUCAUGCCAAGGAGAAGCGGAAGGAGGAGUCAAGGUGUCAGAUCUCACGGUCACAGAUCAAUGUGGCUGUACUGGAUGGUGAUGGAUGUUCAGUUUCAGCCACAAGAUCGCUUAUAAGUCAAACUAUCGCUGUUACUUCUCAUCACUUGGGAAUACAGUUCAGAUUACCACCACACCUUGGGCCAGUUGAAGCGCCUCCGGAGGAUGCAGCCUUGGACUACAUUCCGUAAGUUGAUCAUUUUUCUGUUUUGCUGAAAAUCAUCUUGUUAGUUUUUCCACCUUCCGCUCUACUUUUCACACCCAUAAUCCAGAUUUUCUUGAGAUGUUUUCUAAAACAAAAUGGUAGGAAGAGUUAGUAGUGCGAAAAUAUCCAGGCACUGAUGAUCUUUCUCUCUGUCUAGUAAUUGUCUCUUUUGGCAUCAUGUCAAAAGGCAAUUUUCCUCACGCUGCAAAUUUUCUUUGGUGAAGAUUUUUACUCAUUUGUCUCAAAAUCGAUUUUCCUGCCACAGAGCUCUCGCUCGCAUAAAAUAUGACAUCGCUAGAAAGGUCACAGAUAAGGAAAAAAAUAUUUUUAAUCGUAUUCUUGUGGGUGGAUUUUUUCUGGUUUUGUCAAUUGCGAUAUUACUCAACAAUGUGUGUGUUUUGAUGAAAUCUCCAAACCAAUUGUUUGAAAUUGAGAUAGUGAGUGUUUAAAAAGAAAUAUCCAUAUUUUUUUUUCAAACGAUAAGAUAGCGAUAUUCGACAUAAGUUUUGCUGGUAUUGCAAGUAAUUUGGCGUUAUCAGCAAAAUGAGUGUGUGAAAGAGAUUCAAUUAGCACAGGUGUUUCUAUAAUAUCAAAGGCAAUGCGAGUUUUUUUUAGUGUGAUAAUUUUUCUUUGAAGUCACAGUUAUUGAGAGUGAAAUAAAAGGAAACCUUCAAUUUUGGCAAAAGUCAAGGAGUUACUUUGAACAAGGAAAUAAGAAACUUGUUAGUAAUUAUUAUGAGAAAAAAAACAUGAUCAGUAAAAUAAUUAAAAUUCGUUAGUUAAAAAUUAAUUUUGGUCAGUAAAAAAUAGACCAGUAUAAUAUUGAUUUCAAUGGUCCAUUGACAAAUCGGCAUCUAAUGUGCUUACAAUUGCAGACAAAAUGAAUAACUCAUUAUUACAUACAUGACAAUAAUAAACUUACAUGACGAUAUCACUUAAUUUAGCAGCACAUUUUUAUGUCAGAAAAAAAUAUUCUACAUCCCUUUCUUUCUCACAAAUAAUCUCUAUUCAACUUUUUUUUUAUCUUAACUCUUUAAGGACGAGACACUUUUCGUUGACCGAAAAUCAUCAAUUAAAAUGAAACCUAUAAACAAAAUCAGUGAAAUGUCUUACAUCUAAGCUUGGAAAAUCCAACAGAGUCUGAUUUGGUGUAUUUUUUGCUCCUAUGGAUGAUAGGGACAGAAAUACCCGAAAAAAUUUAAGAAAUUUUUGUGAUUAUACCAAAGAAUGACAAUUUUAAGUCUAAUGGGUCUAAUAAAAAAUAUUAUGUAUGAGUACUGAGUACGUAUUGUAUUUUCUAUUCUUAAGAGGAUUUCACUUAAAAAAAUUGGAAGUAUAAAAACAUAAAUUAAAAUCAUUUAUCAGUGCGGUCAUUUGAAAACUCGUCACUUUUGAGCUUAAAUAUUUACUACAUAGCAAAUAGUUAGAAGUAAUAACGGAUUAAAUUUGAUCAGCAAAAACCUGAAUCUUUGCAAAAAUGGGUAUAUUAUAUCAUUUAUUAUUAACAUCUGUGGGCCUACUGAAGAUAAAAUUAAAACAUUUUUAUUUUUCCUUUACCAAAAUUUCACGAAAUUGAAAAUUUCAUUACUUUUAAAGUUCUAAAACUUGAGUACUACUCAAUCUUGAUUGUUUUUAGACUAACAUAAUUUUUUUCGUACAUCGUAUAAUAGUAUAAUUUAUUAUACCAAAGAAAUAAUGAGAAAUUAGUUUUUCAAGCCCUUUAAAAUCACAAUUCUAUUAAGCUUAUCCAGAUUUACCAGACUUUUUUUUAGACCUUCCUUACUUGCGUCUCAGGUGACUUAUGACGCUUGUUUUCUUAUAUGGAGGUGUACAUUAGUAACACUUGGUAGAGUACCAUCCCCAGAGAUGGUUUUAUUGAGAAACACCUGAGAAUUUAUUGUGUUUAAUUGUGCGGGUUUCUCUCUGUUCUUUCGCCAAAAAAUUACCUACCCAUUAAGCGAAGAGCUUUAAUCCCAGCGAGGAAAUAUUUAUUUAGCAGCAUAUUUGUUUUUGGCAUUUUUCACACAAUAAUAUCAAAAAAUUGUGUACGAACUAAAGAAACUAUAUAUAUUAUAUAUAUAUCUCAGUCAGUGUUAUUCUAUGGACAAAAUAUUAUGUUCUGCGUGUGGCUUUUAUCAGAGAAAACGAAAAUUAAGAGAGAAUAUCAUUGUGCUAUUCGUGCGUGAUCUUAUUUCAUAUUCCGGAACGAGUGUCGACAAAUUUGUGGCUGAAAGAGUUGGUAGAUAGAAAAAAGCAUAUAGAGACUGUGUAUCACACAUAAGGCAACAAAUAGCAAAUGAUAGUUGAUAUUAAUGCCAUAGAGACAGCAACUGGGUCUCUCCAUUGUCACACGAGUGUCUCCAGUCACAUCAAAAAAAUGAAUGGAAAUAGACGGGAGAGUGGUUUAUAUUUGUAAUGAUAAUUGAAACGUAUGCGGAGUGUUAUAAAAAAAAUCGUGACAAUUCGCCAACACUAAAAAUAUUCGCGAAAUUUUUGCGAUUCUUGCGUCUGAGUUUGUAAUUUAGUCGCUGCGUGAUUUCUGUGAAUAGUUAAUGUGUUGUCGGAGUCUCCGGAAAUUUGUCGAUAGUUAGAGAAUAAUUUCCAAGAACAGAGAAAACCGUUUUGAAAAAUUAAUGAGUAAAGGUAUGAAUGAAUUUUUAUUACUAUUGAGGAUGGUUUUAUCAACUUCCGGGACCCGUAGUGUGGAAAAAAAAGAACUGUGAAAGAGAAAAAGGAAUAAAAAUUGCCAUUGAGUGAAUUAUGUGACAAAUUUACGAGUUACUACCUCAAACAUUGUAUAAAUAUUUAUCGCAAUCACGAAUUUUUCACACAAUUAGGCGACCAGCUGAGAUAAACCAGCUGAAAGUGAACCUUUCCAAGGGAAAAGUUCAUUAUGUACAAAAGAUAUAUUUACUCAACAAUUAUUGCAAGUGAAUUGACUUUGUGUGUUUGUCAUGUAAUUUGAAGUGAUGACAGAGAUUUUUUGAUGUGAAGGGAAUACUGUGAAAGAUACACUAAUGAAUGCUAUUUGUGAGAAAUUAUUUCCGUUCCUUAGAAACGACUUAGAAAAGCAAAAAGAACCAGUAAUUGCAUAACUUCGGAUGAGAAUAUAUAUUUUUUUAACCACUACUUUGGUGGAAUCCAAAAAAAUCACUUCCAGAGUAUGUCACAGAAAGAAUUACUUUUAGGUCAUGCCUCUUUCAGGAGUUUUAGUCAAAAUUAAAAUAUUCUAUACCGUAUUAUAAUAUUUUUUGCAUUACUUAAACUCUUAAGGAAACCAUUAUCAUUAAUAACGAGUAAUGGGAAAACUCUGUCCAGUAAGAAUGGGUUGCGAGGCAUCCGAGGUUUUGCAAAAUGUGGGAUCUUAAAAAAAAUUUAUAUACUCAUUUAAGAAAGUUCCAAAUAAAUCUUUAAAUGGUCAGUGAAAUAACUAAAAGUAUGACCUUGCAGUUAAACACUCAAAUACAUGCGAUAAACAUUAUGAUUUGAGUUUGUGCCAUUGAUUAAAUUUGUGCAAAAAAAGGACAGUGUAUAAAAUUUGGAGCAAUUCUCAAGGUACUCAUACAUGAAAAUUGAUCGUUUGGUGGAUUGGAGCAGAAUGCUCGAGGAGACUGAAGAUGAAACCGUUGUGCUUAGGGAGAAGCAUAUUCUGUCCUUCGAGGCAAAUCUCGCACAGGAAAAAUUACGAGAAAUUUACUGCAAAGGAGAAAGAAAUCUAACCGAUGAAGAUGCUCAACUCCAGGACCUCGAUCGAAUAUCAUCCCUCCUUGGACUCAAUCGCUGCCAUUCAGUUGAUGUUCCUCAAACUCAUUACAUCCCCUAUCGACAGAAAGAUGUUCUCAGAGAUCUCCAACAGCACUCCUUCAUUCACAGCAAUUUGGCAAAGGAUUUGCGCAAAUCGAUGCCAGAUGAAUAUCCACACAAAAAAACCAUCACCAUUGGGAGCGUCUUUAAAAGAGACUCUUUCCUGCGUCAGAGUUGGAAUACGAUAUUGAGGAGAAAUAAAUCGCAAAGGCGCAAAUCCAUGUCCACGGAAGAUAUUGCACGUGUAAAGUUGAAAAA